CCUACGGGCGGCAGCAGUGGGGAAUAUUGCACAAUGGGGGAAACCCUGAUGCAGCGACGCCGCGUGAGUGAAGAAGUAUUUCGGUACGUAAAGCUCUAUCAGCAGGGAAGAAAAUGACGGUACCUGACUAAGAAGCCCCGGCUAACUACGUGCCAGCAGCCGCGGUAAUACGUAGGGGGCAAGCGUUAUCCGGAUUUACUGGGUGUAAAGGGAGCGUAGACGGCAGCGCAAGUCUGGAGUGAAAUCCCAUGGCUUAACCAUGGAACUGCUUUGGAAACUGUGCAGAUAGAGUGCAGGAGAGGUAAGCCGAAUUCCUAGUGUAGCGGUGAAAUGCGUAGAUAUUAGGAGGAACACCAGUGGCGAAGGCGGCUUACUGGACUGUAACUGACGUUGAGGCUCGAAAGCGUGGGGAGCAAACAGGAUUAGAUACCCGAGUAGUC
rnacentral:rRNA from 1 species